CGAUGUACCGUUGAUGAUCUGUUUAAUCAGAAACCUGACAUCUAUCAGUCCACCAAUCAACGGAUUUGACAGUCUUCCACUACCAUGGGAGACAACACCAGGGUCUGAUUUAGCCAGGAUAAAAUACUAUAGGGGUACACUAUCUCAUCCUGUUAGUGAUAUAAAAGACACUGCCUAUUUCCAUACAGCAUGGACAGAUAUAUCAAAUGUAAGUUUAAAUGUUACACUGAUAAACACUAAUAAGGUAAAAUUGAUGUUUCUACUUUAAAUUUUCAGAGACGUGAGACAAUCAAUUGUGGAGUUAUAAGCACUUACAUGUCAAUUUCUUGAAAAAUCUUCCUUUAUAUAACUUAUACUUAAAAAAAACGGUAAAACAAAAUUGACGUACUUUAACACGAUCAGCAGAUUAAUGUAUAUUUAUGUUUAUAAGAUGAUGUUGUAAUGUUAUAUUUCACAUACAUCAGUUAUUUCGGUAUAGUCGAGUUAAUUUCCAUUUUGGAUUAAUAAGUUUUGUGUUAAUCAGAAUAAAUAAGGCAGCAAUAGUAUACCGCUGUUCAAAAGAUAUAAAUUGAUUGACAGAAAACAAUUUCGGACUUCAAAAUUAAAUUGAGGGAACAUUAUCAACUAAAACAAUGUAUGAGAGGUAAACAACGGAACAACAGAAUCACCGAAGUGCAAUAAAACAAACGCCAUUAAUUAUGACGUCGUCACAGCAUGAAUAUGCCUUUUCUUAUUUGUGGUUUAAAUGUUGGUAAUGUAAUAUAGUGUUAUUCAUUUAUAUUUGUACCGUCAACCUGUCACGUAGGGUUGCCAUGUUUGAGACACUGUUUUUGACAUUACCGUUAGCUAUGGCUAGCCAUUAAAUUCAGGUUGAACUCAAAAUUGUUUUCUUUAAAUGUCCUGUACAAAGUUAAGUAUGUUGGCGUUUGUGUUGGUUGCACUUUAGUAUUUUUGUUGACCGUUGAUUUUCUCUUAUAUUUGAUGUGUUUCCUCCGGUUUUUGUUGUUACCGAUUUGUUUAAUCUAUAUCGAUUUACUACGUUUGUACAUCGAUAAAGUACUGAUGUUUUCUUUAAUUUUAACAUUAUUCUUGGAAAUGCCCUCUUUUAUCUUGGAAAUAUCAACUUUUAUUUUGGAAAGAUUAAUUUUGAUCUUAGACAUAUCUACAUGUUCUAAUAUCAAAUUUAAUAUUGGAAAUUUUAACUUAGAUUUUUGAAUUGGUAAAUUUAUUCUUGGAAUAAUCAACUUUAAUUUUGGAAUUAUCAGCAUUGAACAUACAAAUAAUAACUCGAAUGAUCAUUUCCACUAUGUCAAAAUGUAAAACAAGGCCUAACAAUAUCCUGAAAUGACGACUAGGACGGAGCUGAUAAUGUUUGAAAUACCUAAUAACGUAUAUUGAUAAUAACACUUUUACUUCCAGUUUAACUCUUCACAUUUAAAGUUGAUUAGAGGCUGCAUAAAAUCUAAGAGGAUUGAAGGCUGAAAUUAUGCAUUUGUUUUAAAAAUGAUUUCAAUUUUGGGUCUUCAAUGCUCUUCAACUUUGUAUUUGUUUUGAUUUUUAACUAUUUUGAUCUGAGCGUCACUGAUGAGUCUUAUGUAGACGAAUCGCGCGUCUGGCGUAUAAAAUUAUAAUCCUGGUACUUUUGAUAACUAUUUAACGUGUGAUAUUUCAAAAAAAAACUUGCUACUUGCUAACCGUCAACUAAUUAUCAAGUUCUUUGCUGACCGUUUCAUUAAAAAUCCGUUGUUUAAAGUUUAACGUUACAGCUGAACAGAUGACAAUUCCGUAGAUAAUUUAAUCCAGAAGGCUAUAGCGGAUAAAUGUCUAGAACGGAUGACAUUGUUUAAUUGAUGAGAUUGAUUAUUUAGUAUUGUUAAAUAAUUUGGAAGUACUUAUAGAAAUACAUGUUAUUCUACUUUAAUGUUUUGACAAAGGUUACAAACUUAACGUUAAAUAAACCAACAUUCUGUAUGAACUAUAUGGAUAAAAUUUAAAACAAAUACAAACAAAUAAUGUUUGCACUAGAUGAUUCGUAAUUCAAUAUAAGUACAAGGAAAAGAGCAUACAUCACGUAGGGGUACAACAUUCAUUGAUUGGCCUAUUGCAUUACAACACCAUAAACAAAUGUUAAAACAGGUGAACACUUUAUGGUGUAACUCGGUUCCAUCACUUCACAUUUUGCUUUAUUUUGUAAACAUAAUAUUAUUGCCCUGUUAGAUGUGAUGCGACUGUCAUACAAGUGAGAGGUUUAGCUAGCCUUAACACCAUGUUAAAUCCACCAUGUUCUACAUUAGAAAAUGUCUGAAUCAAGUCAGGAAUGUGACAGUUGUUAUCCAUUCGUUUAAUGUGUUUGAUUUUGCCAUUUAAUUAGUGACUGUAAUUUUCCUCUGAGUUAAGUAUUAUUGUAAUUUUACUUUUUACACACGGGCAGAUGCUUGGCAAUUUUGAUUUACAAGCAAGACUUAAUUAGAUGUAUUAGAAAUGUCUAUCGUGAUAAACGUUCGUAGGCAUGAUAGAACAACCAAUGUUUAUUGAUAAAUUGAUUGAUUCCCAAAAUGUAUUCAUUUCCAGGCUGUAGGUCGAUUGGGAGGUCAACAAAUGUAUCGAGAGUGUCAAGAGUUUAAGGUGAAAAUGUUGGAUGGAUCUAUUCAGGAAAUUACAUCGGAACUACAACAAUCAAAAGAAGAGAAUACGGAGUUGAAACACACAAUGGACAAUUUGAAGUUGGAACACGCAAACACCAAAG
rnacentral:lncRNA from 1 species